rnacentral:lncRNA from 1 species
GGACCGUGAAAUUGGGGUCAAAAGUCUAAUUUGGCUUAAAAAUUAGAAAGAUCAUCUCAUAAGCAACAAGUGUACUAAGUUUCAAGUUGAUUGGACUUCAGCUUCAUCAAAGACUUAUCUUGACCAAAAGCUUUAACCUGGACGGACGAACGGAACCACAGACGGACGGACGGACGAACGGAGCCACAGACCAGAAAACAUAAUGCCCCUCUACUAUCGUAGGUGGGACAUAACAA